CAUGGUGAAACCCCGUUUCUCCUAAAAAUACACAAAUUAGCCGGGCGUGAUGGCGCAUGCCUGUAAUCCCAGCUACUCGGGAGGCUGAGGCAGGAGAAUUGCUUGAACCCAGGAGGUGGAGGUUGCAGUGAGGUGAGAUGGUGCCAUUGCACUCCAGCUUGGGUGACAGAGCAAGACUCUGUCUCCAAAAAAAAAAAAGAGAAAAGAUGAUACAGACAGCCUGUGUUUACUGAAACAAUUCAUGCUGUCGUUAAAAACCUUCCCACAGAGAAAACUGUCCCAAAUGGCUUCACUAAUGAGUUCUACCAAACAUUCAAAUAAAAAUAACACCCAUUCUAAACAAAUGGCUCCAGAAAAGUGAAUUCUAAAGGACAUUUUCCAAGCAACUCUCCGAGGCCAGCAUCCCCCCGAUGCUAAACCAGACCAAGCUAUCACAAGAAAAGGAGACCGCAGGCCAGUCCUUCCGAGCGCAGAUGCAACCCCUUGCAAGGCCUGGCAAUGUGGACCCAACACAUAGGAGAAGUGUGACACCGUGUGGUGGACCCGGGAUCGGGGGCUGGGGGCUCACCCAAAGACUGGGGCUCACCCAGACCGGGGGCUCACCCAGAGACCGGGGCUCACCCAGGGACCAGGGGCUCACCCAAAGACUGGGGCUCACCCAAACACCAGGGGCUCACCCAAACACAGGGGGCUCACCCAAAGACUGGGGCUCACCCAAAUACCAGGGGCUCACCCAAAGACCGGGGCUCAUCCAGGGACCAGGGGCUCGCCCAAAGACCGGGGGCUCACCCAGGGACCAGGGGCUCACCCAAACACAGGGGGCUCACCCAAACACCGGGGGCUCACCCAAACACUGGGGCUGCCUUCACGCUGAGACGUCAGUCAGGUCAAGACCAGUCCUUCAUGACCGCAGACGCUACCCCUGCGUGGCCGGGCAAUGCACAGCUGAUGCACAGAAGAAGCGUGACACGCUGCGGUGGAACAGGGACCGGGGGCUCACCCAAGGACCGGGGCUGCCUUCACACUCAGACUCAGUCAGGUCCAUUCACCUUUUAGAGGACCAAAGGAAAACCUCACUGCCCCCUCAAUACACGCAGAAAUACACACCUAGCAUCCCGGACAAACUUCAAGGCACUUUUAUAAUUUUAAAAAGUAAACUGAGGCCAGGCGUGGUGGCUCAUGCCUGUCAUCAUCCCAGCACUUUGAGAGGCUGAGGCAAGAGGAUCCUUCCAGCCCAGGAGUUCCAGACCAGCCUGGGCAACGUAGCAGAACCCUGUCUCUACCAAAAAAGAAAAAAUCAGCCAGGUGUGAUGGCGGGUGCCAGCAGUCACGGCUACUCGGGAGGGCUGAGGUGGGUGGAUCACUGGAGCCCAGGACGUCGAGGCUGCAGUGAGCUGAGAUCAUGCCACUGCACUCCAGCCCGGGGGCAGAAUGAGAACCUGUCUCAAAAAAAAAAACAAGAGCUCCCAGCAAACAAGAAACCAAAAGGGAAGGGGCCUCCUGAGUCUGAUGAAGGACGCCAGGCAGGGCCGCUGCGUCAGGGACGACUUGAGCCCGAGGCGGGAAGGGGCGUGCUCUCCACAGCUCUCCAGCACUGCACUGGCGGGCCGAGCCUGUGUACAGAAAGUCAGGGAGGAGACACAGAUGCAGACGAGAAGAGAAAGGCUGAACUGUGCUCACCUGAAGAUGACCUGACCGUGCGUUAGAGACUCUGCCGGACUUAAAGGUUGAGCUGGUAGAGCUGAUGACUGAGUUAAACUUGGUCAGAAAAUGCAAAGUCCACAUAUAAAAACUAACAGUGCUUCUCAACAUUCACAAUUGACAAUCAUAUUAAAGUAAAAAAAUACCACGUACAGUGUCAUUAGAAACAGGAAAUGCUUGGGUAUCAAUGUGAUGAACCGUGAACAAGACCAAACUACGAGGCGUACUGAAAGAAGUGAAAGAUGCCUGAAAUAAGGGAGAGCUGGACCGCGUUCAUGAGACGGAAGCCUCAAUAUGGUUGAGAUUCUUCCGAGUUCAUCUAGAGUCAACAGGAUGCUGACGCAAUCCCAGCAGGCUGUCGUAGCAAUGGAGGGGCCGGUUCUAAAAUUCACACAGUGGGAACGAACAACGGUGCAGCCACUCGGGAAGACAGCGUGCAGGUUCCCCAGAAAGCCGGAAGUGGAACUGCACAUGCACAGGGAACACCACGCAAUCCGACCCUCCACACACGCACAUGGAACACCGUGCUGUAUAUGCAACAAACAUCUCCGAGCUCUGUGCUCCAAAUGGUUAUGGUGGUGAAUUCUGUUAUGUGAAUUUUCCCAUAAUAAAAAAAGUGCCUGCUGUCUGAUUCUGUUCACAUAAAAUUCCAGAAAAUUCCGGCUAAUCUAUAUUGACAGAAAGGAGGCCUGAGGUAGCGUGGGAUGAGGGCAGGUGUGCGUCAGAAAGCAGCAGAGAAAAGUCCAGCGCACGUGCCCGCUCAAGCGCAAGGAUGCAGGGACACCUAUUGUCUUGGUGCUGUGGAUAGUUUCACGGGUGGGUACGGACGUCAAAGCUCAUUGAACUGCACCUUCCACACGCACCAUGCAUCCCACAUCAG
rnacentral:lncRNA from 1 species